rnacentral:misc_RNA from 1 species
AACCCAUAAUGGAAAAUAUUUCAUUUCGAUUGKGAAUUUUUAAUAUUUUUUUAUCUUUUUUAUGAGAUAGAAGAAUCACAAAAUUUGAACCUUUCUWUUUUWUUCGAAAAUAAAAAAAAAACUAUAAGAUAAUAAUCUCUCAAAGCGUUACAAAGGGUUAAAAAGAAKGGAUAUAAAUUCGAAAUUAAUAUCUAGUUAAAAGUUUGAUACGCAAUGAGAAACCAAUCCGUAAAACUWGAAUCAUUUUUCUUAUGUUGAAGGAAAAAAAAAGAGCAAUAAAUAAAGGAACAAUAACCAAUUUCUUAUUCUAUCAAGAAUGUUGGUUAUUGCUCCUUUAUUUUCCAAUCAAAAACUCGUCUACACUUAUACUAAGACAAAAGUCUUAUCCAUUUGKAGAGGAGCUUCGA